CCCGCACCAUUGCCCCUUCUCUGUGCUUUUACCGUUGGACCAAGUCCCACCACCGUUGUUGUCAGUCCACGUCCUCAUCCAUCGUCUCGUCGCCGUCGCCGUGGCGGCGAUGCAAGUUGUGCCGGGUGCAACUUUUCUCCGCGGACAUCUACACCACGAUUAUAUUUUUCGCGGCUUCUUCGUCGCGUCAUUCUCAAGAGCGCUUUAGAUGUAUUUUUGUACCUGACUCGAUCAUCACAAGUGGGUUCAGGAAACACCACGAAUUCCAGUAUCAUUCGAUGUAAAGAAAAAAAAAUGAACAUAUAUCAUUUAUCUGUCGAUAAUGAUAAAAUAUUUUUUAUUAAUCCUGUAAUAUUGAAAGGAAGAAGCUGCUGUUUGGUUUAAUAAAUAAUUUUUAUCUCGCAACUACUCAAGUUACAGCAGUGAGGAAGGGAAAGCUUAAAUAAUGUACAUCAACUAUAUCUUGAUCCUUUGCCAAGCAGGUGGUUUUCAAACAUCGCACCGGAUUCACUAAACGAGGAAAGAAAGAUGCUCAAAAGGUACAGAGGAAAGAGAACGAAAAAAUUACAUGAAAAGAUGCGCUAGUAGCUAAAAAUGCUCCGCUGAAUAAUCAGUGAUGUAACAAAUGUCAGUAUUGCUGUCUGAUUUUGCUGGAAAAUAAUCAAAAAAUGAAAUUGACAUUCUGUAACCUCAUAAGAAGGCCACUGUCAUUUUUGUCUUCUGAAAUUUCCUCGCCCACGUAAUUGAAUUCUUAUGAGUUUGAUAUUUUCGUCUCCCUUGCCAGACGAAAGAGUCGCCCGGCACUACAAAUAUGUUUACUGAUUUAGGCAUAAGAUGCGAAUAUAAUAAAUGUAUUUCAAUGAUUCUAUCUUAUUCAAUAAUUCAUCAUCAAGUUUUUCUAAAACAGAUUCAUUUUUGCAAAACAAGAAUUCCUUGACGUCAUUUAUUAAUUUUUGGCAUAAAUAAUUAUGAGUACUUCGUUGAAUAAAAUUCUAGCACGUAAACAAUUACGAGAAAUGAUGACAAAAAUAACUUGAAGACAGUUCAUUGAGUCAACAAGUGUUAACAAUGAUCAUUGUUGUUUAAUAAAAUGGUUUAUUUAUCAAAA